rnacentral:rRNA from 1 species
UACGUAGGGGGCGAGCGUUGUCCGGAUUUAUUGGGCGUAAAGAGCGUGUAGGUGGCCAUGUAGGUCCGCUGUGAAAACUCGAGGCUCAACCUCGAGAUGUCGGUGGAAACCACAUGGCUAGAGUCCGGAAGAGGAGAGUGGAAUUCCUGGUGUAGCGGUGAAAUGCGCAGAUAUCAGGAAGAACACCAAUGGCGAAGGCAGCUCUCUGGGACGGUACUGACACUGAGACGCGAAAGCGUGGGGAGCGAACAGG